GAUGAAUGCUGGCGGCAUGCCUAACACAUGCAAGUCGAACGAGAUCUUCGGGUCUAGUGGCGCACGGGUGAGUAACACGUGGGAACGUGCCCUAAGGUUUGGAAUAUUCCCGGGAAACUGGGAGCAAUACCAAAUGUGUCCGUAAGGAGAAAGAUUUAUCGCCUUAGGAUCGGCCCGCGUCAGAUUAGGUAGUUGGUGGGGUAAGGGCCUACCAAGCCGACGAUCUGUAGCUGGUCUGAGAGGACGACCAGCCACACUGGGACUGAGACACGGCCCAGACUCCUACGGGAGGCAGCAGUGGGGAAUAUUGGACAAUGGGCGCAAGCCUGAUCCAGCCAUGCCGCGUGGAUGAUGAAGGCCUUAGGGUUGUAAAGCUCUUUUACCCGGGAUGAUAAUGACAGUACCGGGAGAAUAAGCUCCGGCUAACUCCGUGCCAGCAGCCGCCGUAA
rnacentral:rRNA from 1 species